rnacentral:misc_RNA from 1 species
AUCUAUAUAUUAUAUAUAUAAUGUAACAUAAUUAAUAUAAUAUAUAUAUUAUAUAGAGAUAAAUAUAUACAAAUAUAUAUACGCAUGGAGAUAGACAAAAAAUUUUAAUUUUAUGUUACAUUUAAUAAAUG